rnacentral:tRNA from 1 species
GCAGUGGUGGUUCUGUGGUAGAAUUCUUGCCUUCCAUGCAAGAAACCUGGGUUAGAUACCCGUCCAAGGUA